UCCAGACUCCUACGGGAGGCAGCAGUGAGGAAUAUUGGUCAAUGGGCGGGAGCCUGAACCAGCCAAGCCGCGUGAGGGAAGAAGGUACAGCGUAUCGUAAACCUCUUUUGUCAGGGAACAAAGGCGGGGACUAGUCCCCGGAUGAGGGUACCUGAAGAAAAAGCAUCGGCUAACUCCGUGCCAGCAGCCGCGGUCAUACGUAGGAUCCGAGCAUUAUCCGGAGUGACUGGGUGUAAAGAGUUGCGUAGGUGGCAUAAUAAGUAGCUAGUGAAAUCUGGUGGCUCAACCAUUCAGACUAUUAGCUAAACUGUUAAGCUCGAGACCGUUAGGGGUAACUGGAAUUUCUAGUGUAGGAGUGAAAUCCGUAGAUAUUAGAAGGAACACCAAUAGCGUAGGCAGGGUACUGGGACGGUUCUGACACUAAGGCACGAAAGCGUAGGGAGCAAACGGGAUUAGAUACCCCUGUAGUU
rnacentral:rRNA from 1 species